GUUUGCACUCAUCGGGGAAGGGUGAGAACCUUCGACUAAGGUUCGAUUCGAGCGAAAGCGAGAGAACGUUGCCACAGGCAACGGCCCGAAGGGUGAGGCGCGCAGCGCUGAGUAAUCCUUCCCCCACCACCA
rnacentral:sRNA from 1 species